GACGAACGCUGGCGGCGUGCUUAACACAUGCAAGUCGAACGGAAAGGCCCUGCUUUUGUGGGGUGCUCGAGUGGCGAACGGGUGAGUAACACGUGAGUAACCUGCCCUUGACUUUGGGAUAACUUCAGGAAACUGGGGCUAAUACCGGAUAGGAGCUCCUGCUGCAUGGUGGGGGUUGGAAAGUUUCGGCGGUUGGGGAUGGACUCGCGGCUUAUCAGCUUGUUGGUGGGGUAGUGGCUUACCAAGGCUUUGACGGGUAGCCGGCCUGGGAGGGUGACCGGCCCAAGUGGGAUUGGGGAGGGCCCCGGCCUCCAACGGGGGGAAGGGGUGGGGAAUUUUUACAGAUGGGCGGAGGCCUGGUACAGCCACGCCGGGUGCGAGAGGACGGCCUUCGGGUUGGAAACCGCUUUCCCCUGUGACGAAGGGUGAGGGCCGGAAAUGGGUAAAAAAGAACCGGCAAACUACUG
rnacentral:rRNA from 1 species